GUGUCUAUAGCUCAAUUGGAUAGAGCACUGGCCUCCGGAGCCAGGGGUUGUGGGUUCGAAUCCCGCUAGACACACCA
rnacentral:tRNA from 1 species